UAGGGGAAUCUUCCACAAUGGACGGAAAGUCUGAUGGAGCAACGCCGCGUGAGUGAAGAAGGGUUUCGGCUCGUAAAGCUCUGUUGGUAGUGAAGAAAGAUAGAGGUAGUAACUGGCCUUUAUUUGACGGUAAUUACUUAGAAAGUCACGGCUAACUACGUGCC
rnacentral:rRNA from 1 species